rnacentral:lncRNA from 1 species
GAUGCCAGCCGAAAGGAAGUGUGGCAAGACCUCAAGGAAUCCAAAAAAGAAAGCAAAGAGUGAGAAUGAAGAGUGGUACUGUGGAAUAUGCGAGGAAGAUAAAAUAGAAGAAAUGAUUAGAUGUAUGAAAUGGAAAAUGUGGUUUCACGCAAAAUGCGCGGGUGUAGGAAAAGGAGCAAAAAAAAUUUCUGCAAUGGUUGCAAAUAGAUCUGGGAAUGGAAUAAAGUGCCUUUCGUAUAACAUAUGGACUGAAAUUGAUUUAUAUAGAACGGCGUAUAUGCUUUAAUUAAUUUACAAAUGUAU